rnacentral:lncRNA from 1 species
UUUUUUUUUAAGCAGGAUGCUAACCGCAAGUUCUCAAAUCCCAAGCCACAGACCUGACCCUCAUCUGAUGAAACAAUCAGCAGUGCUAAAGGCCUUAUUGAUAAACUUUUCCUCCAAGUCCAAGAAUCACAGAGAUCAACUGAGGGAAGUGCCCCUGGCAGAGGAGCCGGGAUGAAUGUGGACUUGGGUCACAUCAGAAUCUGCCUUUUAUUAUGCUGCUAACUGGAGUGGCUUCACACGCGAUAAUUGGAUGUCUUGCCAAGUGGGACACUGUUGCAUGCAAACACGCUUGCACACACACGCUCCCAUGUGCACACACACACGCAGAUACGUAAGGAGGCCCAGAGAUACACAUGCAGCAGAUGCAACAGUAUUUCACACAGAGAGACUUCUGGAUCCCCAGGCCAGCUGGGAAUUUCAGUCCCAAUAAUAGAUGACUGUCCCUGCCCUAACCAGAAAUCAGUUAUUUCAACCUCCAACCCAGAAUAUAAAAACGUUUUCUAAUUUCCUGAGUUGACACACAGCCUCUUGUGCCUCUCCAAAGUUGGGAAACCUAGUGCGUCACUGGGAACCCCAUGUGAUCAUUGUUAUUAAUGACAAUAAUAGCUAUAGAUUUUUGAGUCUAGCUCUGUGCCUCGUACUAUGCUAGUAGUAGACUAUCUCAAAUAAUCCAGCAAGGGGGAAACUCUUAUCUCCAUUUUACAGAAGCUUAUCCUGUGUUUUAGAGAAACUAACCUGCUCCUGCAUUUAGCACGAGGCGGAACUGGGAUUUGAGCCUGGAACUCUUACUCCACCACCCUGGCUCUUGCUAAGUCCUAUUAGCUUGUAUAGGACACGCUUCCUUCUCUGUUCUUCUGUAAGUUCUGCUGAUUGAUCCCUGGCUGUAGGUCUGGAGUCUUGCAGAGAUCUCUUCCUGUCCUCUUGUCCCUAUCCUUUGAUGCCCCCUGGAAGUCCUUUUUCAAAUACAGGUCCCCAAGGAAUUCCCCAGAGAUAGUUCCUUCCUCGGUUCAACGCUGUACUUCAAGUGUGCCAUUGGGUUUUUGAGAAGCCACAUCCCAUCACUGCCUGUUUUAAAAAACUACAGUUUUUUUUAUUUGAUUUUAGUUAGCCCAUUUUUUAACAUAAACUGCUGUAAGCUACUUCUGUAGCUGAGAUUUAAAAAUAUGUUUUCAGCUUAUUAUGCCAGCUACUUAUAAGAUUGUUUUGAAGUUCUAGUUUGUCAGCCAGUACAUGAGCUAGGCUUGCAGCUUCCAGACAAACUGGCUGAGCAGGUUUUCUGUGCCCAGCCAAUGAUCAAAACCAGGCCAAGGGUCAAGGUUGACUCUGUUCCAUCUGCUAGAGACCACCUAUCGGUGACACUGAUCUGUGAAGCAUGACUCUGGUUCCAAUGUCAAAUACUGGGUUUCACUGUGAAUUUGGACUAAAACUAGAUUGAUGCCAGGGGUCCCUUCUGAAGAAUUAGAGGGCAAAGUUCAAUUGCAAGCCAGGAAAAAAGGGUAAGGUCAGGGGAGAAAUACUGAAGCUGGGAACCUUGUGCCUUGCCAGAAGGCGAGAGAGGCCGAAGACAAACCCAGGUGUUGGCAUUCAGUCUGCAAACACCAGCAGCUUAAGGAGGAUAUACCAACGAGGGAGUUCAAGACAAGCACCCAGCUUAGGAAUAGGCAGCUUAAAGAGGCAUUUCAGGCAAUGUCCAAACAAAUUCCAGAAGGCUGAAUCCUGAUGGUGUGGGGCUUCUUUUAAAGGUGCAGACUCCCACCCUUUCUGAGCAUGUACUCAGCUAUCUUAAAGGUACCAUGGGC